GACGAACGCUGGCGGCGUGCCUAAUACAUGCAAGUUGAGCGAUGAAGAUUGGUGCUUGCACCCAUUUGAAGAGCAGCGAACGGGUGAGUAACGCGUGGGGAAUCUGCCUUUGAGCGGGGGACAACAUUUGGAAACGAAUGCUAAUACCGCAUAACAACUUUAAACAUAAGUUUUAAGUUUGAAAGAUGCAAUUGCAUCACUCAAAGAUGAUCCCGCGUUGUAUUAGCUAGUUGGUGAGGUAAAGGCUCACCAAGGCGAUGAUACAUAGCCGACCUGAGAGGGUGAUCGGCCACAUUGGGACUGAGACACGGCCCAAACUCCUACGGGAGGCAGCAGUAGGGAAUCUUCGGCAAUGGACGAAAGUCUGACCGAGCAACGCCGCGUGAGGGAAGAAGGUUUUCGGAUCGUAAAACUCUGUUGGUAGAGAAGAACGUUGGUGAGAGUGGAAAGCUCAUCAAGUGACGGUAACUACCCAGAAAGGGACGGCUAACUACGUG
rnacentral:rRNA from 1 species